AAUGAUACUUCCCUAACCUGACUGAAAGGGCCCGCGACGUAGGAGCAGCGGGGGAAUGCCUGCCGUGUUUGAAAAAGAAUACGGCCGGAUUUC
rnacentral:sRNA from 1 species